GUAGCGCAAUGAAUAGCGCAUUCGACUUCUGAUCCAAAGGUCGUGGGUACCAAUCCCACCUCUCA